GCCUGGGUGGCUCAGUUAGUUAAGCAUCUGACUUCAGCUCAGGUCAUGAUCUCACGGUCCAUGGGUUCGAGCCCCACAUCGGGCU
rnacentral:tRNA from 1 species